rnacentral:rRNA from 1 species
AAAAUAACCAUGAUUCCCCUAGUAACGGCGAGUGAAGAGGGAAAAGCUCAAAGUUGGAACCUGGCUGUCUUAGAUAGUCCGGAUUGUAAACUAAAGAGCGUGAGUCCAGGCAAGCCGGUUGAUCAAGUCCUUUGGAAUGAGGCGCCACUGAGGGUGAGAGCCCCGUAAAUCGACUGAGCAUUUGUCUUUUGUGUCUCGCGUUCAAAGAGUCAGGUUGUUUGGGAAUGCAGCCUAAAGCUGGUGGUAAAUCCCACCUAAAGCUAAAUACAGGCGAGAGACCGAUAGCGAACAAGUACCGUGAGGGAAAGAUGAAAAGUACUUUGAAAAGAGAGUUAAACAGUAUGUGAAAUUGCCAAGAGGGAAGCAUUUGGAGUUAGACUGACUUGGAGUUAAUCAACUUGGUCUUUGGACUGGGUGUACUUGACUUCUAUGUCUGCCAACAGCAGUUAGUCCUGAUGGAAAAAACUGAAGGGAAGGUAGUCCUUCGGGAUGUUUAUAGACCUUUGGAAAAUACAUUGGGAUUGACUGAGGAAUGCAGUAGAUGCUAUUAAGGCUUCGUCUAUUGGGUGUUAGGUAAAGGUACUUGGUAUUUUCAGCUUGCUGAUGUGCUAGGUUACUUGAGCUUAAUUGCCUAGUAGAACUGUAAUCUACUUUGGUUGUUGGCUUAAUGACUCUAAAUGGC